GGAGAGUUGAUCCCGAUAAUAAUCGGGAGUAAUGUAAUGGUUUGCUAAACCAUCGCCGUUAAUUCGGUGCAAAGGUUCGAAUCCUUUACUCUCCG
rnacentral:tRNA from 1 species